GACGAACGCUGGCGGCGUGCUUAACACAUGCAAGUCGAACGGUAAGGCCCUUCGGGGUACACGAGUGGUCAACGGGUGAGUAACACGUGGGGGAUCUGCCCUGCACUUCGGGAUAAGCCUGGGAAACUGGGUCUAAUACCGGAUAGGACCACUGCCUGCAUGGGUGGUGGUGGAAAGCUUUUGCGGUGUGGGAUGGGCCCGCGGACUAUCAGCUUGGUGGUGGAGUGAUGGCCUAACAAGGGGAAGCCGGGUAGCCGGCCUGCGAGGGUGACCGGCCACACUGGGACUGAGAUACGGCCCAGACUCCUACGGGAGGCAGCAGUGGGGAAUAUUGCACAAUGGGCGCAAGCCUGAUGCAGCGACGCCGCGUGAGGGAUGACGGCCUUCGGGUUGUAAACCUCUUUCAGCACCGACGAAGCGCAAGUGACGGUAGGUGCAGAAGAAGGACCGGCCAACUACGUGCCAGCAGCCGCCGUAA
rnacentral:rRNA from 1 species